ensembl:lncRNA
UGUUAUGUGUUGUCGUAUAUGUACAUGCGUGUAGGUAUAUGUGUAUAUCCACACACGUCUAUAUAUAGUUUAACAAUUUUUUUUUUUUUUUUUUGCAAUAUUUGCGUUUUUACUCUACCAUUGUGACAAUAGCCUCACGUUAGCCUAACGUACACAAUUUUUUCUGCAAAAAAAAAAAAAAAAAAAAAAAAAAGUUUAUAUACGCAACGCAAAAGGCAAACAUGUUAGCUAAAGAGGCGAUCCGAAAAAUUACACACUUAAAGUCGCAUAAAAAGAGUAAACGAAUAAAACCAACUAAUUGAUUAACUCAAUAGCUUACUAGCUCAAUAACUCAAUAACUCACUAAUCAGCUAACUAAAGAGACAUUAAAAAAAAAAAAAAAAAAAAAAAAAAAACGAGGACAACCUAAAUAAGUGCAUAACACGCAUAAUGUUAUACAACAAGCGCAUACUAAAAAUACUGUUUUUAUUUUUUCUAAAAGUAGAAAGUAAAGAAUGGUGCAAAGCUAAAUUUGAAUAUGGUAAGUCUGAUUAUGCAGAGUGUAUAGCUGAUGGAGGGGAUAAUAUAACAAAAUAUAUGAUCGAAACAAUACCUAUAGUUUCAAAGGGUGUCAAUUUGUAUAGCAAUGUAUCUAUAGUAUUGUCUAAUCAAUAUGGCAUGAAAACAAAAGAAAUUGUAAUUAGUAACCAAACAGAGGGUCCAUUAAAUAAAAUAUUUUCAAUGCGUAAUGACAUAGGUUAUCCUGAAUUUGUACAUGUAAAAUUAAACUCACCUAAUACUAAAUGGAGAUGUAAAAAGAUAACAAUCUGGAAAGACUAUAAAUAUUGGAUAUUUGAUUGUAUAGGUUCAUUAAAUGAAAAUUUGUCUGAAGCUACUUAUUUUUUAUCAGGUAACAAAUUAUAUACAGCUUAUGUUAAAACAGGAAAUGAUAUAGAUGCCGGUACAACUGGUAUGAUUGAAAUAAUAUUAUUAGGUAAGAAUAAAAGAAGUAACACAAAAAUAUUACAUGAAGGAUUUACUUCAGGUAAGCUUACAAAAAUUAUUUUUCAAGCAUCUGAUGUAGGACCAUUAGAAGAUAUUAUAUUGUCAAGCGAAAUUAUAAAUGAUCCUUGGUAUUGUGAUUUUGUAAAAAUAAAAACGAAUAACAAAAUGUAUGUAUUUAAUGUAAAAUCAUGGUUAGGAAGUCCAUAUGAAAAAAGUGUAAAAAUAAAUAUAAAAUCUAAUAAUGUUGAUGAAUCUGUGAAAGAUAUCGACUGUCAUAUAAGAGGUAAUGAUUUAAUAGAUACAGGAAAUUUACCUAAAUUGUUAGAAAAUAAAAUACAAAUAUUUAAAAUUAGAUGUCCACAAAAUUGUCAAAAUACAGAAUUUGCUUCUAUAGAAGGUUCAGGUAUACACCCAUCUUCUACUUCUAUUUGUGCUUCUUCUAUAUAUGAUGGCACAUUAAGCCCAAGUGGAGGUGAACUUAUAGUAACAGUAGGAAAUGAUAUAAAAAACUAUUAUGUUUACGAAAAAAAUUACAACGAAUUAAAUACAAUCGAAUUUAAUACCAAAGCAGAUGAAACCAAUUUUCUUUUUUAUACAUAUCAAUUAGAUUCAAUUGAUAAUAUAAAAAGUAAUGUCAGAAUAGUUGAUUCGUUUGGUAAGUUGUCAUCUUUAGGAAGAUUAGAAAUACGAAUUAAUAACAAAUGGGGUAGUAUAUGUAAAAAAGGAAUGAAUUUUACUUUUAGUGAUG